UGAGGCCUGAGCAACAAGCAUUGUGGAU
rnacentral:piRNA from 1 species